rnacentral:rRNA from 1 species
AGAGUUUGAUCAUGGCUCAGAUUGAACGCUGGCGGCAGGCCUAACACAUGCAAGUCGAGCGGCAGCGGGAGGAAGCUUGCUUCCUCGCCGGCGAGCGGCGGACGGGUGAGUAAUGUCUGGGGAUCUGCCCGAUGGAGGGGGAUAACCACUGGAAACGGUGGCUAAUACCGCAUAACGUCGCAAGACCAAAGUGGGGGACCUUCGGGCCUCACACCAUCGGAUGAACCCAGAUGGGAUUAGCUAGUAGGUGGGGUAAUGGCUCACCUAGGCGACGAUCCCUAGCUGGUCUGAGAGGAUGACCAGCCACACUGGAACUGAGACACGGUCCAGACUCCUACGGGAGGCAGCAGUGGGGAAUAUUGCACAAUGGGCGCAAGCCUGAUGCAGCCAUGCCGCGUGUGUGAAGAAGGCCUUCGGGUUGUAAAGCACUUUCAGCGAGGAGGAAGGUGGUGAACUUAAUACGUUCAUCAAUUGACGUUACUCGCAGAAGAAGCACCGGCUAACUCCGUGCCAGCAGCCGCGGUAAUACGGAGGGUGCAAGCGUUAAUCGGAAUUACUGGGCGUAAAGCGCACGCAGGCGGUUUGUUAAGUCAGAUGUGAAAUCCCCGAGCUUAACUUGGGAACUGCAUUUGAAACUGGCAGGCUAGAGUCUCGUAGAGGGGGGUAGAAUUCCAGGUGUAGCGGUGAAAUGCGUAGAGAUCUGGAGGAAUACCGGUGGCGAAGGCGGCCCCCUGGACGAAGACUGACGCUCAGGUGCGAAAGCGUGGGGAGCAAACAGGAUUAGAUACCCUGGUAGUCCACGCCGUAAACGAUGUCGAUUUGGAGGUUGUGCCCUUGAGGCGUGGCUUCCGGAGCUAACGCGUUAAAUCGACCGCCUGGGGAGUACGGCCGCAAGGUUAAAACUCAAAUGAAUUGACGGGGGCCCGCACAAGCGGUGGAGCAUGUGGUUUAAUUCGAUGCAACGCGAAGAACCUUACCUACUCUUGACAUCCAGAGAACUUAGCAGAGAUGCUUUGGUGCCUUCGGGAACUCUGAGACAGGUGCUGCAUGGCUGUCGUCAGCUCGUGUUGUGAAAUGUUGGGUUAAGUCCCGCAACGAGCGCAACCCUUAUCCUUUGUUGCCAGCGGUUCGGCCGGGAACUCAAAGGAGACUGCCAGUGAUAAACUGGAGGAAGGUGGGGAUGACGUCAAGUCAUCAUGGCCCUUACGAGUAGGGCUACACACGUGCUACAAUGGCGUAUACAAAGAGAAGCGAACCUGCGAGGGUAAGCGGACCUCAUAAAGUACGUCGUAGUCCGGAUUGGAGUCUGCAACUCGACUCCAUGAAGUCGGAAUCGCUAGUAAUCGUAGAUCAGAAUGCUACGGUGAAUACGUUCCCGGGCCUUGUACACACCGCCCGUCACACCAUGGGAGUGGGUUGCAAAAGAAGUAGGUAGCUUAACCUUCGGGAGGGCGCUUACCACUUUGUGAUUCAUGACUGGGGUGAAGUCGUAACAAGGUAACCGUAGGGGAACCUGCGGUUGGAUCACCU